AAACUGGGAUUAGAUACCCCACUAUGCCCGGCCGUAAACUUUAACUUACACCCCCCCCCAUCGCCAGGGAACUACGAGCAAAGCUUAAAACCCAAAGGACUUGACGGUACCCCAAAUCCAUCUAGAGGAGCCUGUUCUUUAAUCGAUAACCCCCGCUUAACCUCACCACUUUUUGCCUAUCAGCCUGUAUACCUCCGUCGUCAGCUUACCACGUGAGCGCCAUCAAGUGAGCUUAAUGUCCACACGCCAAUACGUCAGGUCAAGGUGCAGCUAAUAAAGUGGGAAGAAAUGGGCUACACUCUCUAUACUAGAGGAGACGGAAGGUCAGCUAUGAAACCUGGCCAAAAGGAGGAUUAGCAGUAAAGAGAAAAAAGAGUGUUCUUUUUAACUGGCACGGGGUGUGUACACACCGCC
rnacentral:rRNA from 1 species